UGCUUAAUUUCUAUGAUUUUUUGUGUUGCCCAGUGUGUUCUUUGGAGAUCUUUACCUCCCAAAUCCUUCCCUGGUUGAAGGAUUGAUCUUGGUUUUGCUUCACAGUGCAGCCGCCGGUAGUUAGAGGUUAGUGUCAGGUCUCUAAACUUGGAGAACUCCUGAAAGUUGGUAUGAUCUCAACUCCUACCGGUGUCUAUGUUGGUGUCUGAUGGCUCCUAGGAGGACAUGAUGAAACCUUUUUGUUUUUUGAUUUUUUUGCAGCUGCCCUAGAGCAUGCAUCGCACUCUAUCUUGCUGUUGCUUUGGCCUAAUAUAGUCACACCUCAUCUGAAUAUCUGAUCACAUUAUUUACAUGCUUGCAUUCACAUGUGCAGAUACAUAUGUGAAACAGAAACCAUCGAAGAUGUACAAUUUAAAAUUUUUGAAAUGGCACAUGAUGAUGCAGGUUAAUUCCGAUGAUCCUAUCCAUUAGAAUUGACAUACAUUUGUAUUUAUGAUCUUAUCUGUUACAAAGAAGUUUGUGAUUAUUAUUUUUUUAUUCUGAAAACAAAGAAGAUCCUUUGCUUUUUGGAAACUAAGGUUAGGUGACUUUACUGCAUUUGUCAGAUAUAGUGAUAUACAACCUUUCGUUUUAUCUCCUAGAUUGCAGCUUUAUUUAACAAAAAUGAUGGUCAUGUCAAUAGUAAGAAAGCAAGCCUAGACCAAGCCUGCAGUGGGAUGGAUAUAUGGAUAGGUAGGUUUUGGAGAUUAAUCAUUUCUAUGCAUAGCCAUUUUGUAUCUGAUCACAGGUGCAGAAGACUUCUUAGUAGUUGCCAAUAUGAUGUUCACAAAUGAAUUCAGAGUUUGAUUAAUCAUAGUUUAGGUUCUAAUAAAGCUACAGUCCUGCCCCAAGCAUGCAUUAGUCACUUCACUUAUAUAUCUAUAAUGGUCCUUAUGGCUGCACAACAUAAAUUUGGCAUCCCUAUUUAGACACAAGUUUAAGUCCUUGAUGACUUCUACAUUUUUAGAUAUCUAGAGGUCAUAUCUAGAGGCGACGACUACUAAUUGCUGUUGCACAAACAGCCUGUGGCUAUGUCCUUCUGUUCAAUACGACAUGUCAUAGUCCAACAAAUAAUUUGGCACUAUUGCUCUUAAUAUUUGAGUUUGAAAUGUGGAAGUAUGUUCUACUUUUUUUCUGGCAAAAUAUAUUUACUGCAUUCUUUCUAGAAUGCGGCAUCUCAGUUCACCUAACACUUCUUGAAAUAUAUUAAUUAUUAUUUAAAUAAAAUGCUAUGGUGGAUAAUAAAUAUUAAAUAUAAAUGACGUGCUGUCCAGCAUGCAUUUGUACAUAUAUUUGUAAAAAUUAGGAGCUUGAGAAGAAAGAAAAUCUGCAGCAAGCUGCAGUUUUGUGCUCAGUGAUAGAGAUGGCAGUGGCCUAGGUGGUUGCGUGUGUGUAUAGAUAGCAGCAGGGGAAGAUGAGAUGUGUUAGCUGCUGCCAUUGUAGGAUCAUGGGAGCAUGGGGUGUGGCUUCUUGCUGCUGCGAGAGUUGUGCUAUGUAUUACUGGAACUUUUUGCUGCAUAACAACAAUGUCCUUCUAAAAGGUAGGGAACAUUAAAUUUGUGUGAUAUAUUUCUCUGAUGAUUGCUGGUGUGUUUCCCAGUAGAAUGCAUGGGAUAUCCAAACACAUUUAGAUGUCAUGUCAUCAGUGCUGAACAACUAUCUAAAUUGUCAAUAGCAAUUGACAAAUUAGGAAGCCAGUAAAGUACUUUGAGUAUGAUUGAGUUGUGUAGGACCUUGAUUUUUUAGGCUGUGUGCUCUAUUAAUAAUAUGCAAUUUAUAAAGUGUACACUGAAUCAACAUACUGUGACUGAAUGGUUUCUACUAUUUUGGUCAGCUGUCCAUUAUUUGUCCUGUCUUCAGAAAUUUGGUAUAUUAGUUGCAGACUAUAUGAAAUAAUGCCUUAUAUAAUCUGAGAGUUGUUUAACCAAUUCAAUUAACAUGUGAAUUAUUGAACUGCAUAAUUAUCUGCCUUUUGAAAUCUUCCGUUUGUGCUUGCAAGCUGACAACACUCACAUAUAUUUCAUCAUCAGUCAGUUAUUUCAGUUGCUCCACCAUCUCUCCAGUUACCUAAUAUGAAUUGUAUUUGUCAUCAUUACACAAUUUAAUACACCUCUGAUAAGCAUCAAGGCUGUCGCGUGCCAUCAAGGCGUUGGUUACCAGCUGCAAUCCUACAAAUAUUGGCACUCCAUUUGCAGGUAUGUGCAAACCUUGAGAAGAUGAGAGAAGAUGGUGAAGGAGGGACAGGAGGUGAGCUAUCACAUGUGGGCAGAGGCAGAUGGAGUCGAUGAGGUAGAGCUAAAGAGCAAGAUUGCAGGUUACUGCUGAGAGAGGCUGCUGGUGCUUGUUCCAUUUGGUUUAGUGGUUAUAGAUCAUUUUUUUUGGUGUAUGUCCAACAUCUGGUCCUUAAUUCCCGAGACAUCCUCACUACAGUAACAAUCUGGUUGUUAAAAAAACUAAUCAAUAUCAAUCUAGAUUUAUCUUUGAGAAGUUUUAUAGACAA